rnacentral:piRNA from 1 species
AAUGUAGACCUAGUCCAAGCAAUC